UUAUCGGAGAGUUUGAUCCUGGCUCAGGACGAACGCUGGCGGCGUGCCUAAUACAUGCAAGUCGAGCGGACAGAUGGGAGCUUGCUCCCUGAUGUUAGCGGCG
rnacentral:rRNA from 7 species